rnacentral:lncRNA from 1 species
UAAGUCUCUUUUCAAAUUUUCUUCAAAUAGUCAUCUCAGUUUUUCUUUUUUUAUUUUUUAUUCCUAAUUCUCGAAGUCACUUCGCUUCGUUUCUUUUGAGUCUAUUUUUCUAAGUCUCUGUCAAAUUAGUUUUUUAUGAAGCAAGCAAGAAAGGACUCCAAAGCUCAUUACCGGCUUUUUAUUUGCACCAAGCGAAAUUUGGCCAGGCACAUUCCAAGUGACAUGGUUUAAAAUGAGCAAUGCGAUGGUAAGUGAAGUUCAGGUGGUCAAGUGAUUCGUGAAUUUGUAGGAAAUGCAAAGGUUCCACAGUUGUCAGAAUGAAAGUGUCAUACGACGAGUUGAGUGUAAGUGAUUCAAGUUAUUCAGAGGUUUUGUGUUCGAGGUCCGAUUGAAAGGUCAAGCAAUUCUUCGUAGCCCGAAGCAGCUAAUCAGAAUGAAGCAGGAUAGUGGCAGAAGCAGACACCUUCAGCAGGGAUGCCACAAACUAACCGCCACAGUUUCAAACUGACAAAAUUUUCUUUGUUUUAAGCAGGGGAAAGAAAUCUUGUUUGCUUUGCUAGGAAUCCCCCAUGAGGAAGGUAUGCUCCAGAUAAGUUCAGUCUUAAGUUUUCAAGGCCCUCCUGGAUAAUGGGAUCUAAUUUUAUGUUUCAGGACCCUCCUGGAUAAUGGGAUGCAACUAACAAUCAAUGAAUGUCCCUGGUACAAACUGGGGCAGAAAAGUUUCUCUGUUUUGUCUGUGUUGUCAUGAUUGCAGGCGCCCACCUGGAGAACGAGGGAAUUUAUUUAAAGUUCUAAGUCAUCAGGCGCCCACCUGGAGAAUGAGGGAAUUC